rnacentral:rRNA from 1 species
UACGUAGGGUGCAAGCGUUGUCCGGAAUUAUUGGGCGUAAAGGGCUCGUAGGCGGUCCAUCGCGUCGGGAGUGAAAAGCUGGGGCUCAACCCCAGUCCUGCUUUCGAUACGGGUGGACUAGAGGUAGGCAGGGGAGAACGGAAUUCCUGGUGUAGCGGUGAAAUGCGCAGAUAUCAGGAAGAACACCCGUGGCGAAGGCGGCACUCUGGGCCGGUACUGACGCUGAGGAGCGAAAGCGUGGGGAGCGAACAGG